rnacentral:rRNA from 1 species
UACGGGGGGGGGCAAGCGUUGUUCGGAAUUACUGGGCGUAAAGGGCUCGUAGGCGGCCAACUAAGUCAUACGUGAAAUCCCUCGGCUUAACCGGGGAACUGCGUCUGAUACUGGAUGGCUUGAGAUUGGGAGAGGGAUGCGGAAUUCCAGGUGUAGCGGUGAAAUGCGUAGAUAUCUGGAGGAACACCGGUGGCGAAGGCGGCAUCCUGGACCAACACUGACGCUGAGGAGCGAAAGCCAGGGGAGCAAACGGG